GACGAACGCUGGCGGCGUGCUUAACACAUGCAAGUCGAACGGAAAGGCCCUGCUUUUGUGGGGUGCUCGAGUGGCGAACGGGUGAGUAACACGUGAGUAACCUGCCCUUGACUUUGGGAUAACUUCAGGAAACUGGGGCUAAUACCGGAUAGGAGCUCCUGCUGCAUGGUGUGGGUUGGAAAGUUUCGGCGGUUGGGGAUGGACUCGCGGCUUAUCAGCUUGUUGGUGGGGUAGUGGCUUACCAAGGCGUUGACGGGUAGCCGGCCUGAGAGGGUGACCGGCCACAUUGGGACUGAGAUACGGCCCAGACUCCUACGGGAGGCAGCAGUGGGGAAUAUUGCACAAUGGGCGGAAGCCUGAUGCAGCAACGCCGCGUGCGGGAUGACGGCCUUCGGGUUGUAAACCGCUUUCGCCUGGGACGAAGCGUGAGUGACGGUAAUGGGUAAAGAAGCACCGGCUAACUACGUG
rnacentral:rRNA from 1 species